CCUGCCCCUAAAAGCAUUGCAGGUGUGGCUGUUGUGGUUAGUAGGUGGCAGGGAAGAGAGAUGCUAUGUCUAAACUCAGUAUUCUGACCUAUGAACAUCAAAUUAGUGACCUAACAUU
ensembl:snoRNA Gm22530 predicted gene, 22530